rnacentral:rRNA from 1 species
GAUGAACGCUAGCGGCAGGCCUAAUACAUGCAAGUCGGACGGGAUUCAGGAGCUUGCUUCUGAUGAGAGUGGCGCACGGGUGCGUAACACGUAUGUAACCUACCUUUAUCAGGGGGAUAGCCUCUCGAAAGAGAGAUUAAGCCCGCAUAAAAUCACAGCACAGCAUUGUGUAAUGAUCAAAUAUUUAUAGGAUAAAGAUGGGCAUGCGGAACAUUAGCUAGAUGGCGGGGUAACGGCCCACCAUGGCGACGAUGUUUAGGGGAUCUGAGAGGAUGGCCCCCCACACUGGGACUGAGACACGGACCAGACUCCUACGGGAGGCAGCAGUAAGGAAUAUUGGUCAAUGGGCGGAAGCCUGAACCAGCCAUGCCGCGUGCAGGAAGACGGCCCUACGGGUUGUAAACUGCUUUUAUACGGGAAUAAACCCAGAUACGUGUAUCUGGCUGAAUGUACUGUAAGAAUAAGGAUCGGCUAACUCCGUG